AUUUGCCAAGGGGGGAACCCUUUUUAAGGAACUCCCGUUAAGCGAAGAGUAUUUUCGGUAGUAAAUUCUUUUCACCGGGGAGAAAGAAAAGCGGUCCUUGAUUAGGAAGCACGGGUUAAUUAGGUCCCGCAAGCCCCGGAAAACGUAUGGACCAAGCUUAUUCGGGAUUACCUGGUUUAAAGGGAGCGCAGCCGGAGGCCUAAUUUUAAUGGAAAGCCCGGGGCUCAACCCCGGUACUGCAUGGGAACUGGUCAUCAAGAAUGUCGGAGGGGUAAAGGGAAUUCUUAGUGUAGCGGUGAAAUGCGUAGAUAUUAGGAGGAACACCAGUGCCGAAGGCGGCUUACUGGACGAUAACUGACGCUGAGGCUCGAAAGCGUGGGGAGCAAACAGGAUUAGAUACCCUAGUAGUGCACGCCGUAAACGAUGAAUACUAGGUGUCGGAAAGCACAGCUCUUCGGUGCCGCCGCAAACGCAUUAAGUAUUCCACCUGGGGAGUACGUUCGCAAGAAUGAAACUCAAAGGAAUUGACGGGGACCCGCACAAGCGGUGGAGCAUGUGGUUUAAUUCGAAGCAACGCGAAGAACCUUACCAAGUCUUGACAUCCUUCUGACCGGACAGUAAUGCGUCCUUUCCUUCGGGACAGAAGUGACAGGUGGUGCAUGGUUGUCGUCAGCUCGUGUCGUGAGAUGUUGGGUUAAGUCCCGCAACGAGCGCAACCCUUAUCCCCAGUAGCCAGCAUUUUGGAUGGGCACUCUGAGGAGACUGCCAGGGAUAACCUGGAGGAAGGUGGGGAUGACGUCAAAUCAUCAUGCCCCUUAUGACUUGGGCUACACACGUGCUACAAUGGCGUAAACAAAGGGAAGCAAGACCGUGAGGUGGAGCAAAUCCCAAAAAUAACGUCUCAGUUCGGACUGUAGUCUGCAACCCGACUACACGAAGCUGGAAUCGCUAGUAAUCGCAGAUCAGAAUGCUGCGGUGAAUACGUUCCCGGGUCUUGUACACACCGCCCGUCACACCAUGGGAGUUGGAAAUGCCCGAAGUCAGUGACCCAACCGCAAGGAGGGAGCUGCCGAAGGCAGGUUCGAUAACU
rnacentral:rRNA from 1 species